CAGUCGCCACGGUAAUACGUAGGGUCCGAGCGUUGUCCGGAAUUAUUGGGCGUAAAGGGCUCGUAGGCGGUUUGUUGCGUCGGGAGUGAAAACCCAGGGCUUAACUUUGGGCUUGCUUUCGAUACGGGCAGACUUGAGGCAUUGAGGGGAGAACGGAAUUCCUGGUGUAGCGGUGAAAUGCGCAGAUAUCAGGAGGAACACCGGUGGCGAAGGCGGUUCUCUGGCAAUGUUCUGACGCUGAGGAGCGAAAGUGUGGGGAGCGAACAGGAUUAGAUACCCCGGUAGUCCCUGUCUCUUAUAC
rnacentral:rRNA from 1 species